ACCAAGUAUCAUUCAACCCUCAGUAUUGGUGAUUGCUUCAGACUGGGCCAGACAGGCCACAGCAUCAGCGACUUUCACCACCGAAUGCUUUGGAUGCAAAGGAUGACUGCUGUCUUGGAGUCCUUUCAUCCUGGCCACGUGGGGGAUUUCAUGAUACAUGUUAGACCCAGGUCUCCGUCCUCUCCCAGCCUGUGUUGCUAACCUCUGUCUCACAUUCCUCUCUGAUAUCCUGUGGCCAGAAGCCCAGAACUGUUCCAGACAGGGAGGAUGUCCACUUGUGUGACUGAUUACCAACAUGCUUCAGCUUCA
rnacentral:lncRNA from 1 species